AUUGAACGCUGGCGGCAGGCCUAACACAUGCAAGUCGAGCGGAUGAGUGGAGCUUGCUCCAUGAUUCAGCGGCGGACGGGUGAGUAAUGCCUAGGAAUCUGCCUGGUAGUGGGGGACGACGUUUCGAAAGGAACGCUAAUACCGCAUACGUCCUACGGGAGAAAGCAGGGGACCUUCGGGCCUUGCGCUAUCAGAUGAGCCUAGGUCGGAUUAGCUAGUAGGUGAGGUAAAGGCUCACCUAGGCGACGAUCCGUAACUGGUCUGAGAGGAUGAUCAGUCACACUGGAACUGAGACACGGUCCAGACUCCUACGGGAGGCAGCAGUGGGGAAUAUUGGACAAUGGGCGAAAGCCUGAUCCAGCCAUGCCGCGUGUGUGAAGAAGGUCUUCGGAUUGUAAAGCACUUUAAGUUGGGAGGAAGGGCAGUAAGUUAAUACCUUGCUGUUUUGACGUUACCAACAGAAUAAGCACCGGCUAACUUCGUGCCAGCCGCCGCGGUAAAAC
rnacentral:rRNA from 1 species